rnacentral:rRNA from 1 species
AUUGAACGCUGGCGGCAGGCCUAACACAUGCAAGUCGAACGAGUGGCGGACGGGUGAGUAAUGUCUGGGGAACUGCCUGAUGGAGGGGGAUAACUACUGGAAACGGUCGCUAAUACCGCAUACCAUCAGAUGUGCCCAGAUGGGAUUAGCUUGUUGGUGGGGUAACGGCUCACCUGGGCGACGAUCCCUAUCUGGUCUGAGAGGAUGACCAGCCACACUGGAACUGAGACACGGUCCAGACUCCUACGUGAGGCAGCAGUUGGGAAUAUUGCACAAUGGGCGCAAGUCUGAUGCAGCCAUGCCGCGUGUAUGAAGAAGGCCUUCGGGUUGUAAAGUACUUUCAGCGGGGAGGCGUUACCCGCAGAAGAAGCACCGGCUAACUCCGUGCCAGCAGCCGCGGUAAUUC